UGGCCCCUGAAUUUAAUACACACCUUCUGAUUUACAAGCAACUAGUACUCCUAGACCCUUUAGUAUUACAUCACCCAUUACUACGACUCGUUGGGCUAGUUUUUAAUCUAUUUUUAUAUUUUCUAUUAUUACACUAAUUUUAUAUUUUCCUUUUUUAACCUAUUUUUUUUAUU